rnacentral:rRNA from 1 species
CCUACGGGUGGCAGCAGUGAGGAAUAUUGGUCAAUGGGCGAAAGUCUGAACCAGCCAAGUAGCGUGAGGGAUGACUGCUCUAUGGAUUGUAAACUUCUUUUAUAAAGGAAUAAAACGAGGGACGUGUGCCGUUUUGCAUGUACUUUAUGAAUAAGGAUCGGCUAACUCCGUGCCAGCAGCCGCGGUAAUACGGAGGAUCCGAGCGUUAUCCGGAUUUAUUGGGUUUAAAGGGUGCGUAGAUGGGUUGUUAAGUCAGUGGUGAAAGUUUGCGGCUCAACCAUAAAAUUGCAGUUGAAACUGGGAGGCUUGAGUAUAUUUGAGGCAGGCGGAAUUCGUGGUGUAGCGGUGAAAUGCUUAGAUAUCACGAAGAACCCCGAUUGCGAAGGCAGCCUACCAAACCAUGACUGACAUUGAUGCUCGAAAGUGUGGGUAUCAAACAGGAUUAGAUACCCUAGUAGUC